AUUGAACGCUGGCGGCAUGCUUUACACAUGCAAGUCGAACGGUAACAGGUUAAGCUGACGAGUGGCGAACGGGUGAGUAAUGCAUCGGAACGUGCCCGGUCGUGGGGGAUAACGCAGCGAAAGCUGCGCUAAUACCGCAUACGAUCUAAGGAUGAAAGCGGGGGACCGUAAGGCCUCGCGCGAUCGGAGCGGCCGAUGUCAGAUUAGGUAGUUGGUGGGGUAAAGGCUCUCCAAGCCAACGAUCUGUAGCUGGUCUGAGAGGACGACCAGCCACACUGGACUGAGACACGGCCCAGACUCCUACGGGAGGCAGCAGUGGGGAAUUUUGGACAAUGGGCGAAAGCCUGAUCCAGCAAUGCCGCGUGCAGGAAGAAGGCCUUCGGGUUGUAAACUGCUUUUGUACGGAGCGAAAAGGUCUCCUCUAAUACAGGGGGCUCAUGACGGUACCGUAAGAAUAAGCACCGGCUAACUACGUGCCAGCCGCCGCAGUAA
rnacentral:rRNA from 1 species